GUACAUUGACCCUUGGAUAGGUUUUCCUGGUGUUCUGGGCCCCGUUUCACGAAGCAGGUUCAACCAACUCUGGAGUCUAACCCUGAACUCUGAGUUGAUCUACUCUGAGACAGGAAACUCUGAGUUACGGGUUUCAGAACAGGUGAUUUCAAUUGGUUCAAUCAACACAGAGUUUGUUCACUCUGAGUUAAGCGCGUGCACCACGACUUUAAAAAGCCCUGAUCAAUGGAGCCCCGUUCCCUCGAUUCACCAUGGCAACGAGUGAUAAGAAAAGAUCGUCAUAUUUCAGUCCUCUGGAACUGGAUAUAUUAAUGCGGUCAUACGGCGAAUUUGAAAGCAACACGGCUGCAGCAGCGAAAGAACGCGAGUCGGCGUGGGAGAAGAUUACUGCUCGAGUCAAUGCAUGUAAUCCCACCGGCGAAAAAAGAACGUGGAAGCAGCUGAAGAUGAAAUAUAAAAACAUUGUUCAAACAGCCAACAGAAAGCGGGCAUCUGCCCGCAAAACUGGCGGAGGACCACCCCCACCACGUCUGACCGAGGCAGAGGAGCAGGCCAUGAGUCAGACUGUCGGGAGGCCAGUCGCAGAGGGGAUCCCUGGAGGGACCUCAUCCUCGGACAUGAUUACACAGGAGCCACCAGCUUUGAUAAGAUGUAAUAGGCCUAGGCCUCAAACUUUUUUGGGGCCUAUAUUUCAAUGUUAAUUUCCCUUUCAUGUGUUUUUCUUUUGUCUCAACAGAUUCUGAAGGCGUACUUGGUCUAGUGGAUCCAUGUGCCACUUUAACUGAUGAUGAAGAUGAUGGGACCACAAUGUCUGCUGCCUUCUCUGUGGUGUCUGAGAGGGAGCCCGAGAGGCCUACAGAGAGCAUGGCUGGGCAGCAGGAAGAGGGUCCCUCAACCUCCACAGCACAGAUUGACACACUACCACUAAAAGAAAUCUACAAAGUGCAUUUAUUAAAAACAGUACAAAAAACAGAAAAUGAAAUGGUGCUGCUGGACCGCCAGAUAACUAAAACGGAUCUGGAAAUUGAAUUAUUAAAACACAAGUUAGAGGUGGGUGCAUGGUCAUAGGUGAAUUGUGUUGAUGAUUGUAACAAUUAAAAAGUAAGAAACCAUUUUUUUUUCUUAUUUGUAGGAAAUAAAGAAGACCAAAUAAAAAUUUUUUUGUCUUUCUGUUUAUUUUACUGCUGUUGGUGAUGGUGAUCCAAACUGGCUUUAAACACGCACGGCAAUGAAUGAAUCACACCGUGUGUAGCGUAAGAGGGCGGAGACAGAAAGAAACUCGAGGUUCAUUGAAGAAAACCUGGUCCCGACCAGGUUAUGUUCACAGAGUCUGUUGCCAUAGUAACUGACACCGAGGUUAAGUUACCUCUCUCUGUGAAACAGGCUGGAGUUACU